GACAAGCCCUCUUCCUCCACCAGGGCCAGGCUACCACAGUCAGGAACUUAACGAUGCUCAUUCUAAGGACCUAAAUCUCCAGGAGGAUACCAUGGUCGCAGCGGCACCAGCUCAGAGGAGCGCGGGGAGGUUACUCACACGGUGAAGUGGUACACGAAACACUUCCAGCCCGUGGGGCGCUCGAGGAAGUUGUAGACGCGGCCCUGGAUGGUCAUGAAGGAGCUUCUUGUCCUGGAACUCUUGUCCUGUGAGAACAGAGUCAGAAGAUUUGCUCAGCCGGCUCUUGGGAGCUGCUUCGACCAGGUCUACACUGGCCUUUGUGUGGAUCCCAGAACACAGAUGUGACCAAUAUCUUCAUCUCCAUAUUCCAAAUACAGCAGAAGAAAAGUGUGCCUUCAAUAAGCACCCAGGUGGUAGUACGGGUCUAUAGUCCCAGCACUCGGGAGGCAGAGGCAGGAGGAUCAGGAGCUCAAGAUCCUCCCAGGCUCUACAGCAAGUUCAGGAUCAGCCUGAGCUACAUCAGACCCUGCCUUAAACCAACAAUAAAGUAUUGACACUAGAUGGGCAUGCAGAGAAGACGAAGGAGCAGCCAGGCCCACCUCUCACACCCUGCACGAGAAUAACUUUCAAGUGGUGUCCUUGUUAUCGUCAGUUGUCAACUUGACUUAGCCCAGAGUUAUCUAGAAGGGAAUCUCAACUGAAGGACUGCCUAGAUUAGAUUAGCCUGUGAGUGUGUCUGAGGGGGGUUGUUUUGAUUUAAUUGAUGGAGGAGGGCACAGCCCACUGUGGGUGGCAUCUGUUCCUUGGGCUGUAUCUGGUCCUAAGUUGGCUAAGAAAGCUGGCUAAGAAUGGGCCUGAUAGCAAGCAAGUCAGCAGUGUUCCUCUGGGGGUUCUGCUGUGCUUUCUUGGCUGUGAAUGAGUCCUUUGAUGGGAGAUGAUGCCUUGUGGAAUAGUGAACAAGCCUGCUUCCAGGUUCCUGAUCGAGGCACUGCCCUGAGCUCCCUUGACUAUGGGACUCUAACCAGUAAACUGAAAUUACUCGCCUCACCUCAGUUGCUCUUGAUCCUGGUGUUUACCACAGAAAUAAAGGGAAGCGAGGACAGCUGGAUCAAAGGCUUUGGCAUAAAAGUUAAAAUAAAGUUCUUCAGAAAGGACUUACGGGUGAGGGCUGAGGGGAGAGGCAGAGAUAGAGUGUGCGCCUGUCGGCUGUCCUGAGGAGAUGGCAGGCAAAGGAGGAAGAGCUCUGCCUCAAGAAACCAGCACUAAGGAAAACAUUUCCCACUGUGCUGUGAAAUCCGGAAGCAUCAGAUAAAACAGAAAGCCACCACAGGGGAAGUCAGAGAUAAAGGACACGCUGGGACAGUCUCCACAUUUUCACCACCACAGGCAAGGGAUUCAUACCACUAGUACAUAAGGAGCAUCUAAAGCCAGAGAAGACUGUGGCAGACAGUGCUAUGGGAGAGAGGGCUGAAAACAGGACCAGCACACAGAGAAAGAGGCAUGUGGCCUUGGUGCCUCCGGAAAAAAAUGUUCAGCCUCACUCAUAACAAGAAAAUGCAAAUUAAAAGUACACUCUGAUACCAGUGGCCCACUAUCUGAUUGGCAAAACUCCAGGUGUUUGACGGCACAAUCUUUGGGAAAGGCUAGGGUGGCAGGUGCUUUCCUAAUCACCGGUGGGAAGGGCGUUUUAGUAGUCUAGCAAAAGUGUAUGUGCCCUUUGACCCGAAAAUCCCACCACUAACUAACCCAAAGACAAAUGAGAGGGGGGAAAAAUGAAAAUAAAACUGGGCAUGGUGGGACACAUCAGUAAUCCAUAUACUUGAGAGGUAGGUAGAGGCAGAUAUGAGGAGUUCAAGGUCAUCCUCAGCUACAUAGUGAGUUCAAGGCCAGCU